GACGACCUUGGCUGAUAUGUGAUAACUUAUCACACCAGGUCGUCACUCAGAGGCCGAUUUUUGUGAGUUACUGCCUUGGGCUGACGACAUGGCUGAUAGGUCAUCACAUAUGUGAAAACUUAUCAGCUCAGGUCGUCACUGUCGACAGGCUGAAGUAAAAUGGGUAUAACUUUUUGCUCCGAUCUUAGAUUUGGGUGAAAUUGGUAUCGUUGGAAAGGUAAUUCGAAUAGAU
rnacentral:lncRNA from 1 species